rnacentral:rRNA from 1 species
CCCGGCCUACGGGGGGCAGCAGUAGGGAAUCUUCCACAAUGGACGAGAGUCUGAUGGAGCAACGCCGCGUGAGUGAAGAAGGGUUUCGGCUCGUAAAGCUCUGUUGGUAGUGAAGAAAGAUAGAGGUAGUAACUGGCCUUUAUUUGACGGUAAUUACUUAGAAAGUCACGGCUAACUACGUGCCAGCAGCCGCGGUAACACGUAGGUGGCAAGCGUUGUCCGGAUUUAUUGGGCGUAAAGCGAGUGCAGGCGGGUCCAUAAAGCUGAUGUGUAAGCCUUCGGCUCCACCGGAGAA